UCGUCGCUGGACGACUGCUGCUCAUCCUCCUUCUCCCGGAAGUGCUGCUGCACGCACUGCUCCUCGAACUCAUGCAGCCUCUUUAGCUCCUCGUCGCUAAGGAAGAGCUCUGUGUGAAGGGAGAAGUGUCGGCCACGUGAAAAACAAGAAGAAUCAGUUUCGUGGCGUCAAUGAGAAUUUCACAGCCCCGCUUUAAUUAAGCUCUCUUCUCCGCCACUCCUAAGGCAGUUCGCCACUACUCCAAUUGAUUUUUAUCUAAAAAGGGGUUGUCAUACGCCCCAACCCUCUAUCAGUUGGAGUCAAACGGCCCGCUUUUAAACAUAAAAAACAAAAUUACAUUUACUGGGAAAGUAAAGCCAAGUAAUAUUUCCUGGAAAACUUUUUGCACUUAUUUUUAUGAAUAGAGUCAAACGUAUAGCAUUAUUUUCUCAUUUUCUUUAGAUGCAACAAAUUAAGACGUUUUGAAAGGAGCAUUGAAUUUAUAUAGAAAUUUAUAGAGUAGAGUUAUUUUAGAGAAUUAGCUCAACUUCUGGUCUCUAUGAGCUGGCUUUCCUAAUAUUAAUUACUAACAAAUUAACGAAACUAGAAUAAAAUGGGUACAAAAUGAGAAGCCUUUUGAAAAGAACAGCAGUUGGACUGAGUGUGGUGCUUUUCUCACGAGCAAGUAGUUGAGUGAGAUUUCUGUGAGGAUGUCCAAUUUGAACACUAUUUUGAAAUCAGCGCAACUUAGAAAUGAAGAGCCCUGCACAUACUCAAUCCACGAUCCCGUUCCUCUUGGUCCCCUUCUCUCUUUUUCCUGCAGCGGCCACUGAGACGCAUAAUGAUGAUGUAGAUGUGGCUUAAAAUGAUCAUCGGUGGGGGCAGGACUGGCCUGUCAUGAAAUGUCAUAAUCAGCUGAUAUCGCUGGAACUUCCACACCUGGUUGGAUAUUGAUUUUACUUCAAAGAAGGUUGACACAUCUAAAAGAAUCUUUGUUUCCAACUGGACUGACUCAUUGAGAGGAAACCUUCACUGCACCUCACCAGUGCAGACAGAAGACCUGGAGGCAGGACGGGAGGCAUUUUAUACUUCAGCACGAUAUGGGCCCUGACUUUUCAUUUUCUACAUGGAGACAUAUUUGUUGGUGCUGUCAUCCUCAUGGGGAAACUAUGAAGUUGCAAACAUUAUGAUAACGGGAAACUUUUAA